rnacentral:rRNA from 1 species
GUAGGUGGCAAGCGUUGUCCGGAAUUAUUGGGCGUAAAGCGCGAGCAGGCGGUUCUUUAAGUCUGAUGUGAAAGCCCACGGCUCAACCGUGGAGGGUCAUUGGAAACUGGAGAACUUGAGUACAGAAGAGGAAAGCGGAAUUCCACGUGUAGCGGUGAAAUGCGUAGAGAUGUGGAGGAACACCAGUGGCGAAGGCGGCUUUCUGGUCUGUAACUGACGCUGAGGCGCGAAAGCGUGGGGAGCAAACAGGGAUUAGAUACCCUGGUAGUCCACGCCGUAAACGAUGAGUGCUAAGUGUUAGGGGGGUUUCCGCCCCCUUAGUGCUGCAGCUAACGCAUUAAGCACUCCGCCUGGGGAUACGGCCGCAAGGCUG